rnacentral:rRNA from 1 species
ACGAACGCUGGCGGCGUGCUUAACACAUGCAAGUCGAACGAUGAAGAAGAGAAACGCGAACUUCGGAUCAAAUUUCACUUCGGAUUAGUGGCAGACGGGUGAGUAACGCGUGAGCAACCUACCUCUUACAAAGGGAUAGCCUCGGGAAACCGUGAUUAAUACCAUAUGACACAUUCAUAAGGCAUCUUAAGAAUGUUAAAGCUACGGCGGUAAGAGAUGGGCUCGCGUCCCAUUAGCUAGUUGGUGAGGUAACGGCCCACCAAGGCGACGAUGGGUAACCGGCCUGAGAGGGUGAACGGUCACAUUGGAACUGAGACACGGUCCAAACUCCUACGGGAGGCAGCAGUGGGGAAUAUUGCACAAUGGAGGGAACUCUGAUGCAGCGACGCUGCGUGAGCGAUGAAGGAAUUCGUUUCGUAAAGCUCUGUUCUAUGGGAAGAAAAGGACUGUACCAUAGGAGAAAGCCCCGGCUAAAUACGUG